UUCUUCAACAGAGAAAAUGUCAGCUGUGCUUUCCUCACAGACAGUUCUGCUGCCCUCUAACACAGUGAAACUACCUCUGAAACGCAAUGAGCUAUUUCCUCUCCUCGGAUAAACUAGAUUCAAAUGUCUCCUGGGGCAAGGACACAAUCUUCCAGGGGCUGCUCUUUAUCUUCCAUGGGAACAGUUGGUACUCUCGCUGAAUGUAAUUCACCUGGUUGUUUUCCAUACCUCUGCUCCAUAAGCAGUUCCGCUCGGGUAGUCUCUCAGCACUGAUCACUUGACAACGGAUGGAGCUGCUGUACUUUUGGUGAACGAAGACCAAGCAAAAAAAUACAAGGCUCAUAACUGUGCACAUUCACUGAUGUGUCAAGGAAUGGCUUCCCCUUGUUAUUCAAGCAGAGGCAUGAAUUUCUCCAGAAGGACACCUGUGAGCGGUAGAGGAAUGCCAGACCCAGCGCAUGUCUAGGACAGCCAGGCGCCAUGCCUGGUUCCUGCCAACAUGAGGACUUCUUCGUCAGAAAGGUACUUUGCUAUGAGCGUGAAGGUCAUUUAUACCUGCUGCAAGACCUCUGUGGAGUCUUAAUACAAAUGACGAUCUCAGCCCUUCUUGAGGGCUGAGAGUCAUCACAGUAAAAUUUAAAAGAUAAAUUACGCCUUACCACAAAAUGGUGCCAAAUACAGCACAUACAAGCAUCUAAGUCUGUGCAGAAAGUAGAACAGUGUUAUGUUGGGCAGGAAUGAAAAAAAGAAACAAGCUAAUCUCUAAUGAAAUUGGAAAAGAAAAUAGCCGAAGGACUUUUUCUCUCUGAGUUUCAUGGUAAAUACCACUCAGUUUUUGGUAUCAUUAAUAUCUUAUUAUUAUGACUACUAUUAAGCAGUAGCCCCACUUACUUUUGUCUGUAUUUUGUGGGCACGCCUCGGCAUUUUACAAGUUGGAGGUUGUGCUAAGAGCUGGAAAUAUUGUAUCAUCAUUUCAUUACCACCUGGCUUAAAGAGAGGAUCCAUUAAUCUGGUUUUGUAGGCAUCUGCUGUGAGAAAGUAAGGGAGGAGGCCGGUACAAACUCUACUAUAGUUACUGGGAAACUGCAAUUAUUUUUUUAAAGAAGAGGCAACAUUUUUCUUCUACUUCCUUAAA